GAUGAAGAACGUAGCGAAAUGCGAUAAGUAAUGUGAAUUGCAGAAUUCAGUGAAUCAUCGAAUCUUUGAACGCACAUUGCGCCCCCUGGUAUUCCGGGGGGCAUGCCUGUCCGAGCGUCAUUGCUGCCCUCAAGCCCGGCUUGUGUGUUGGGCCUUGCUCCCCCGGGGGCAGGCCCGAAAGGCAGUGGCGGCACCGCGUCCGAUCCUCGAGCGUAUGGGGCUUUGUCACCCGCUCUGUAGGCCCGGCCGGCGCUUGCCGACCCCAAUCAAUCUUUUUUCAGGUUGACCUCGGAUCAGGUAGGGAUACCCGCUGAACUUAAGCAUAUCAAUAAGCGGAGGA
rnacentral:misc_RNA from 1 species